UGCAAACCUCAGAUAAUCAUGCUGACUAGGAUCAUGUAGGCAGAAAAAAAACAAAUCCAUACUUGGUAAAGCUGUCAACCCCUGUUUGAAUAAGCCAUUGAAGCACAAUAAAGUCAACUCUCCAAACUGUGCUUCAUUGAUUGGCUAAUUUUUUUUGUAUUUUUUUAGUAGAGACAGGGUUUCACCAUGUUAGCCAGGAUGAUCUUGAU
rnacentral:lncRNA from 1 species